GGAAUAUGGUAUUGAAAAUCCUAAAUUCGUUCCAAACACCUGAACGUGCACAUAGAUUAGGGCCUAACAUCUAAUCCGCGCAAUUUAGAAAGAGAGGGUGGAAGUUACAAAUUAAGAAGAAAAUAAAUUUUCUUAAUUACAAAAAAUGGAUGUGGGGUCAUAGUCGGAAUCAUAAUUCUCAUCUUCUGCCUCGCCUGCUUCUGCUUCUGCUUCUGCUUCAUCACCAUCGAAGGCGCUUGCUGCAACAGCCGCCGCUCUUCUUAGCUCUCCCCACCCCUGCAUUUAGAUCAAUCAGAUGUCGUUCCCACCGAUAAAACUAGCGGUGAAGAUGAAGUUGCCGGAGGAGCUGGCUGAGGAGGAAAAUAUGAGGUUGUGUGGGUUUGGGCCUUGUCUUCAUCAUCAUCAUGAUCACGAAUCAAGUUCUCAUCUUUCUGGAUUUGCUUGGCGUCACUCAUUUGUCUGAUUUUGCUCCCUGUUAUGUUCGUUCAAGGGAAGCCUGCAAAAUGGUUUGUUGAUGCAUUGGCUCUCUUUGGGGCAGGAGCUAUGCUGGGGGAUGCUUUUCUCUUCACCAAUUGCCCCAUGCUUUUGGUGCAGUAAUGGACACAGUGAUCUAAUCUCGUUGUAGUAUUUGCAUUGUUUCACUACUUAAUUUUUAUGCCUUAAUUAUUUCCAGUGUUCUAUAUUCACUCUGUUCGGUACAAACUGAAAAAAACUAUUGUGUGGCAGGUGGUGGUCACUGCUCAUGACCAUGAUCACCAUGGCCAUCAUGAUCAUCAUCAUUCGGAUUUGCCUUCACAUUCACAUUCUAUACAAGAUCUGUCUGUUGGAUUGUCUGUUCUCGAGAGAGAAAGACUUCCGCUAGUGAUGUUGUUGAUAAAUCAGAUUCAGUCGCAGAUAUGUAUUACUUCCGAUGGGAAAUUGGACAAACCUGCACAUGGGGGAGAAGAACUCAAGCCUAGUAUUUAUUUGGUUACCUCAACUAUUACGAUCAAGCUUGGGAGAGAAGAAGAAGUUUGUUAUAUCAAAAUAUCUUCUGUUAAUAUUGAUAAUGAACAUUUACAUGUAUAUAUAGUAAGCUGUACACUUAACCGUACUAAACCACUAUUCUAAUUUAACAUCUAACCGGUAAACCGGGUUAUAUACACCAA